UUGAACGCUGGCGGCAGGCCUAACACAUGCAAGUCGAGCGGAUGAAGGGAGCUUGCUCCUGGAUUCAGCGGCGGACGGGUGCGUAAUGCCUAGGAAUCUGCCUGGUAGUGGGGGAUAACGUCCGGAAACGGGCGCUAAUACCGCAUACGUCCUGAGGGAGAAAGUGGGGGAUCUUCGGACCUCACGCUAUCAGAUGAGCCUAGGUCGGAUUAGCUAGUUGGUGGGGUAAAGGCCUACCAAGGCGACGAUCCGUAACUGGUCUGAGAGGAUGAUCAGUCACACUGGAACUGAGACACGGUCCAGACUCCUACGGGAGGCAGCAGUGGGGAAUAUUGGACAAUGGGCGAAAGCCUGAUCCAGCCAUGCCGCGUGUGUGAAGAAGGUCUUCGGAUUGUAAAGCACUUUAAGUUGGGAGGAAGGGCAGUAAGUUAAUACCUUGCUGUUUUGACGUUACCAACAGAAUAAGCACCGGCUAACUUCGUG
rnacentral:rRNA from 1 species